rnacentral:rRNA from 1 species
AGCUCCAAUAGCGUAUAUUAAUGUUGUUGCGGUUAAAAAGCUCGUAGUUGGAUCUCGGCGGGUAGGGGGCGGUUCGUUAUUCGACGCUACUGCCCCAUUUACCCGUGUUUUUUGCGGAGCUGUCGGGGUGCUCUUAAUCGAGUGUCUCGGCGGGCCGCAAGGUUUACUUUGAAAAAAUUAGAGUGCUCAAAGCAGGCUUUACACGCUUGAAUAUUCGUGCAUGGAAUAAUGGAAUAGGACGUCGUUUCUAUUUUGUUGGUUUUCGGAAAUCGACGUAAUGAUUAAUAGGGACAGUCGGGGGCAUUAGUAUUCAGACGACAGAGGUGAAAUUCUUGGACCGUCUGAAGACUAACUACUGCGAAAGCAUUUGCCAAGAAUGUUUUCA